GUGCCAGCAGCCGCGGUAAUACAGAGGGCGCGAGCGUUGUCCGGAAUCACUGGGCGUAAAGGGCGCGUAGGUGGCCACCAUAAGGCCGCGGUGAAAGUUCGGGGCUCAACCCCGGAUCGGCCGCGGCGACUGUGGGGCUUGGGUACUGUAGAGGCAGGUGGAAUUCCGGGUGUAGCGGUGGAAUGCGUAGAGAUCCGGAAGAACACCAGUGGCGAAGGCGGCCUGCUGGGCAGUGGGAUCGAAAGGUCCCUAUAACCGACACUGAGGCGCGACAGCGUGGGGAGCAAACAGGAUUAGAUACCCGAGUAGUCC
rnacentral:rRNA from 1 species